CACGUAGUUAGCCGUGGCUUAUUCAAGGGGUACCGUCUUCUGCUCUUCCCCCCUUAAAAGAAGUUUACAACCCGAAAGCCUUCUUCCUUCACGCGGCGUUGCUGGGUCAGACUUGCGUCCAUUGCCCAAUAUUCCCCACUGCUGCCUCCCGUAGGAGUCUGGGCCGUAUCUCAGUCCCAAUGUGGCCGGCCAACCUCUCAGUCCGGCUACUGAUCGUCGCCUUGGUGGGCCGUUACCUCACCAACUAGCUAAUCAGACGCGAGGCCAUCUUCCAGCGAUAAAUCUUUGACGUCGGAGUCAUGCGGCUCCAACGCAUCAUGCGGUAUUAGCAGUCGUUUCCAACUGUUGUCCCCCUCUGGAAGGCAGGUUCCUCACGCGUUACUCACCAGUCCGCCACUAAGCAUUCCCAUCCGUUGUCCGAAAACUCCUUCAGGGGUGCUCCGUUCGACUUGCAUGUGUUAAGCACGCCGCCAGCGUUCGUCCUGAGCCAGGAUCAAACUCUA
rnacentral:rRNA from 1 species